rnacentral:rRNA from 1 species
GGGUUGUGAGGUUAAGCGACUAAGCGUACACGGUGGAUGCCACGGCAGUCAGAGGCGAUGAAGGACGUGCUAAUCUGCGAAAAGCGUCGGUAAGGUGAUAUGAACCGUUAUAACCGGCGAUGUCCGAAUGGGGAAACCCAGUGCAAUUCGUUGCACUAUCGUUAACUGAAUACAUAGGUUAACGAGGCGAACCGGGGGAACUGAAACAUCUAAGUACCCCGAGGAAAAGAAAUCAACCGAGAUUCCCCCAGUAGCGGCGAGCGAACGGGGAGCAGCCCAGAGUCUGAAUCAGCUUGUGUGUUAGUGGAACGGUCUGGAAAGUCCGACGGUACAGGGUGAUAGUCCCGUACACCAAAAUGCACAGGCUGUGAACUCGAAGAGUAGGGCGGGACACGUGGUAUCCUGUCUGAAUAUGGGGGGACCAUCCUCCAAGGCUAAAUACUCCUGACUGACCGAUAGUGAACCAGUACCGUGAGGGAAAGGCGAAAAGAACCCCGGCGAGGGGAGUGAAAAAGAACCUGAAACCGUGUACGUACAAGCAGUGGGAGCACCUUCGGGUGUGACUGCGUACCUUUUGUAUAAUGGGUCAGCGACUUAUAUUCUGUAGCAAGGUUAACCGUAUAGGGGAGCCGCAGGGAAACCGAGUCUUAACUGGGCGUUAAGUUGCAGGGUAUAGACCCGAAACCCGGUGAUCUAGCCAUGGGCAGGUUGAAGGUUGGGUAACACUAACUGGAGGACCGAACCGACUAAUGUUGAAAAAUUAGCGGAUGACUUGUGGCUGGGGGUGAAAGGCCAAUCAAACCGGGAGAUAGCUGGUUCUCCCCGAAAGCUAUUUAGGUAGCGCCUCGUGAACUCAUCUUCGGGGGUAGAGCACUGUUUCGGCUAGGGGGUCAUCCCGACUUACCAACCCGAUGCAAACUACGAAUACCGAAGAAUGUUAUCACGGGAGACACACGGCGGGUGCUAACGUCCGUCGUGAAGAGGGAAACAACCCAGACCGCCAGCUAAGGUCCCAAAGUCAUGGUUAAGUGGGAAACGAUGUGGGAAGGCACAGACAGCGGGAUGUUGGCUUAGAAGCAGCCAUCAUUUAAAGAAAGCGUAAUAGCUCACUGGUCGAGUCGGCCUGCGCGGAAGAUGUAACGGGGCUAAACCAUGCACCGAAGCUGCGGCAGCGACACUAUGUGUUGUUGGGUAGGGGAGCGUUCUGUAAGCCUGCGAAGGUGUGCUGUGAGGCAUGCUGGAGGUAUCAGAAGUGCGAAUGCUGACAUAAGUAACGAUAAAGCGGGUGAAAAGCCCGCUCGCCGGAAGACCAAGGGUUCCUGUCCAACGUUAAUCGGGGCAGGGUGAGUCGACCCUAAGGCGAGGCCGAAAGGCGUAGUCGAUGGGAAACAGGUUAAUAUUCCUGUACUUGGUGUUACUGCGAAGGGGACGGAGAAGGCUAUGUUAGCCGGGCGACGGUUGUCCCGGUUUAAGCAUGUAGGCUGGUUGUCCAGGCAAAUCCGGAUAAUCAAGGCUGAGGUGUGAUGACGAGGCACUACGGUGCUGAAGUAACAAAUGCCCUGCUUCCAGGAAAAGCCUCUAAGCAUCAGGUAACAUCAAAUCGUACCCCAAACCGACACAGGUGGUCAGGUAGAGAAUACCAAGGCGCUUGAGAGAACUCGGGUGAAGGAACUAGGCAAAAUGGUGCCGUAACUUCGGGAGAAGGCACGCUGGUGUGUAGGUGAAGUCCCUGCGGAUGGAGCUGAGACCAGUCGAAGAUACCAGCUGGCUGCAACUGUUUAUUAAAAACACAGCACUGUGCAAACACGAAAGUGGACGUAUACGGUGUGACGCCUGCCCGGUGCCGGAAGGUUAAUUGAUGGGGUUAUCCGUAAGGAGAAGCUCUUGAUCGAAGCCCGGUAAACGGCGGCCGUAACUAUAACGGUCCUAAGGUAGCGAAAUUCCUUGUCGGGUAAGUUCCGACCUGCACGAAUGGCGUAAUGAUGGCCAGGCUGUCUCCACCCGAGACUCAGUGAAAUUGAACUCGCUGUGAAGAUGCAGUGUACCCGCGGCAAGACGGAAAGACCCCGUGAACCUUUACUAUAGCUUGACACUGAACAUUGAGCCUUGAUGUGUAGGAUAGGUGGGAGGCUUUGAAGCGUGGACGCCAGUCUGCGUGGAGCCAACCUUGAAAUACCACCCUUUAAUGUUUGAUGUUCUAACGUUGGCCCCUUACCGGGGUUGCGGACAGUGUCUGGUGGGUAGUUUGACUGGGGCGGUCUCCUCCCAAAGCGUAACGGAGGAGCACGAAGGUUAGCUAAUCCUGGUCGGACAUCAGGAGGUUAGUGCAAUGGCAUAAGCUAGCUUGACUGCGAGCGUGACGGCGCGAGCAGGUGCGAAAGCAGGUCAUAGUGAUCCGGUGGUUCUGAAUGGAAGGGCCAUCGCUCAACGGAUAAAAGGUACUCCGGGGAUAACAGGCUGAUACCGCCCAAGAGUUCAUAUCGACGGCGGUGUUUGGCACCUCGAUGUCGGCUCAUCACAUCCUGGGGCUGAAGUAGGUCCCAAGGGUAUGGCUGUUCGCCAUUUAAAGUGGUACGCGAGCUGGGUUUAGAACGUCGUGAGACAGUUCGGUCCCUAUCUGCCGUGGGCGCUGGAGAAUUGAGGGGGGCUGCUCCUAGUACGAGAGGACCGGAGUGGACGCAUCACUGGUGUUCGGGUUGUCAUGCCAAUGGCACUGCCCGGUAGCUAAAUGCGGAAGAGAUAAGUGCUGAAAGCAUCUAAGCACGAAACUUGCCCCGAGAUGAGUUCUCCCUGAGACUUUAAGUCUCCUGAAGGAACGUUAAAGACGAUGACGUUGAUAGGCCGGGUGUGUAAGCGCAGCGAUGCGUUGAGCUAACCGGUACUAAUGAACCGUGAGGCUUAACCUUACAACGCCGAAG